CCUACGGGUGGCAGCAGUGAGGAAUAUUGGUCAAUGGGCGCUAGCCUGAACCAGCCAAGUAGCGUGAAGGAUGACUGCCCUAUGGGUUGUAAACUUCUUUUAUAGGGGAAUAAAGUGCAGUAUGUAUACUGCGUUGCAUGUACCUGAUGAAUAAGGAUCGGCUAACUCCGUGCCAGCAGCCGCGGUAAUACGGAGGAUCCGAGCGUUAUCCGGAUUUAUUGGGUUUACAGGGAGCGUAGGCGGGUUGUUAAGUCAGUGGUGAAAGUUUGCGGCUCAACCGUAAAAUUGCAGUUGAUACUGGCAUCCUUGAGUACAGUAGAGGUAGGCGGAUUUCGUGGUGUAGCGG
rnacentral:rRNA from 1 species